ensembl:lncRNA
AUGAGAACACUGCCCUCCAGUCUGCAGAGGCAGGAGCCCCGCCAGUUAAUCAAGAUGAGUACUGGUGACAGGACCAGGGUCCCCUGCAGAGGAGUGGACAAAAAGGUCAGAGCACAGCAGGUCCUGGAUCCUGUGACGCGGGGCCCCAGGCCCUGCGGGAGCAGGAGUGCUGGUGAGUUGGAUUCAGAGGACGGGGAAGCACAAGCCUUGGCGGUCAAGGUGAGGGUUCAGACGGAAAGUGCAAUGUUUAGACAGACUUGCCGUCGAGGGGUUGUUUCUCCUUCGCCAAAUGUUGCCCAGCAGCGGCUUCCACACCUGGCCGGGAGCACUCGCCCGGAGGAGCAUGGUAAAACCGAAGCGUGUUGGCAAAGCCACAGCUGGAACACGAGGGUCGAAGGCGCCCCAAAUGCCGCAGCAGGGCCCCAACGGGCGGGGCCGCGCCAGCGUGGACCGCCGAGUUCCGGUUUUCCAGCCAGAGAGCACACCUCCAUCCCCCAGUCCGCUGGAGGCGAAGGCAGCCACGCCGUCUCAGCCCACGGGCUCCUCGUGCCGUUGGAGCAGGGCCGCCUCCCGCGGGGGGACCCCGGUGGCCUUCAAGCAGCCCCGUCCCUGCUGACUGCACAGCAGGGUAUGUCGUCUUCCGAUCUAUCCUGGGAGCGAGGACAGUCCCCGUGCAUCGACUGUCCAGGGAACUAAGUUGUCAGGCCUACACGAUUCCCAGAGACGCGGCCUCUGAGCCUCCGCGGCUGCCGUGGAAGGCCGCUGCCACAUGGCUACGCGGGCCUCGUCAGCCUCAACACAGCGCAGAGGCCCUGCCGGGUGAAGAUGGAGGAGUCUUCCGCCUCUGCCUCUCCUCACGAAAAGGAGGUUCAGUUUGUACAACAGUGUGGGACUAACCUCCCGCAAAGUUGCAACCCAGCCACGCCGGAGCUGACGGCGCAGUGCGGAGGGACACUGAGGCAGAGCCUCAGAAUGUAGCCCCAGUGGGAAAAGCUACGCUAAGGAGUUCUGCAUAGUCUCAGGCACCUCGCGGUCCGAUGCUGCUUAGUGCACCUUGCGCGUCCUUACCGUUAGAUUCUCGAGGCCGGAGUGCGGCUCAGACACCGUGGGCUACGGAGGUGGGAGUCCUGCCCAGACGCAGCUUAUCUGGAGGGUGCCGUACGGCCUCCCCCGUCCCCCUCCCCGCACAGCGGGGCUGUUCCCCGGGGGAGCCUGGGCUUACCGUGGGGUGCCUACUGCUUCAAUCCCACAAGAAACCUGUUUAUUCUCUUAAUAGCUUUUUGUUGGGCGCCUGCAUUGGGGCGCUCAGUUAAGUGUCUGACUUCGGCUCAGGUCAUGAUCUCACAGUUUGUGGGUUCGAGCCCCACACUGGGCUCUGUGCUGACAGCUCAGAGCCUGGAAUCUGCUUCAGUUUCCAUGUCUCUUUCUCUCUCCACCCCUCCCCUAUUCAUGCUCUGUUUCUCAAAAUAAUAAAUGUAAAAAAAAAAAAAAACUUUCUGUUCACAAAAACCAGGGUGAUCUACAUUUGUGCGUAUAGCACACUGCACAUGCUGCUGUGUUUUGUCCAUCGACAUCAGGGGACUUUCCAAGUAUUUGAUUUUCAAGGUUUAUAGUUACACAGCCAUUAGUCUGCCAAGAGUUGUAAACCACACAGACCAAAGACCCAGUGGGGAGCUGUUGUGAGAAAUUCCUUUCCAAAUAACAUCCUUCAUAGCAGGUGUGAUCUAAACACGUGACGUCAGAAGACACGAGCACGUCGCUGGAGUUCCCUCUGGCCAACGGCCUGGUUCAUUAUCGCGUCCUAAACCCAGACUGCCCCCCGAUGACACCAGUCCUGCCCGCAGGCUUCCAUUCCACUUUGUCGAGUUCCCAAGGCAGGCUGGUCACGGAAGACGCAGGCCUGGCCCUCAGGGCACCGCUCUGCUGAGGACGUGUUAGCCCCUUGCUCUCUCCAGGCACUGAGGUCAGGCGAGAUCUCCAUUUUCACCGAGUACCCAUUUACUCACCUGUCUGCCCUCGGCUGCCAUGUCUCCUAUUUCCGUUUGUCUUCUUAUCCAUUCUGUGUUACCCUAUAUCUUUUGAUUGAAGCAUUUAUUUAUUUAAAAAAAUUUUUAAACAUUUAUUUAUUUUUGAGAGACAGAACAUGACUGCGGAGAGGCAGAGAGAGAGGGAGGGAGGGAGACACAGAAUUUGAAGCAGCUCCAGGCUCUUAGCUGUCAGCACAGCGCCUGACACAGAGCUCCAGCUCACCAACUGCAAGAUCAUGACCUGAGCUGAAGUCUGAUGCUCAACCGACUGAGCCCCCCAGGUGCCCCUUGAUUGAAGCAUUUAGUCCAUUGAUGUUUAGAGUGAGUACUGAAAAACAUGAAUUUAUUGCCAUUAUGUUGUCUGUAGAGUUGGAGUUUCUGAGUUUCUGGUGGUGUCUCUGGUCCUUUCUAGUCUUUGUUGCUUUUGGUCUUUUUUUUUUUUUCUUUUUUUUUUUGUCUUUUCUCCCCUCAGAGAGUCCCCCUUAAAAUUUCUUGCAGGACUUGUUUAGUGGUGACAAAUUCCUUUAGUUUUGUUUGUCUGGGAAACUUUUUAUUUCUCCUCCUUUUUUGAAUGACACCCUUGCUGGAUAAAGAAUUCUUGGCUGCAUAUUUUUCUGAUUCAGCAGGUUGAAUACAUCUUGCCAAGUUUCUGUGGACAGGUCUUCUGCCAACUUGAUCUGUCUUCCCUUGUAGGGUAAGGACUCUUCUUCCUUUGCUGCAUUCAUGAUUCUUUUCUGGCCUGAGUAUCUUGUGAAUUUGACUAUGAUAUGUCUUGUUUUUAUUGGAUCUAAUGGGAGUUUUCUGUGCUUCCUGGAUCUUGAUGUCUGUGUCUGUCCCCAGGUCAGGAAAGCUUUCCACUAUGAUUUUCCCACAUAAACUUACCCGUUUGUCUCUCUCUUCAUCUUCUGGGACCCCGUGAUUCAGAUGUUACUCCUUUUAAAUGAGUCACCAAGUUCUCUAAGUCUUAUUUUGUGCUCUUUUGCCUUACUUUUCCUUUUUUUGUUUCUGCUUCAUUGUUCUCCGGAAGUUCGUCCUCUGUGUCAUGGAUUCGCUGCCCUGCUUCAUCCAUCCUUGCUGCUGUGGCGUCCACUCGAGAUUGCAGCUCAGUUAUAGCAUUUUUUAUUUUGUUCUGGCUAGACUUCUUU